UCCUUCUGCAUUAACAGAAGUCUGCUAUAAUUGUGUGAAUCAGAUCUGAUCUGUCUCACGCGAUAAUGCUAGCAGAUUAUUGCGUGGAAGGAGAUGAAUUCGCACGGCACUGAAAAUGAGAUGUGGUCGAACCUCUUUCUUAAUGUUCAUUGGCCUCUGUCUCAAGGUGCAGUGUCACAUAU
rnacentral:snoRNA from 1 species